CGGAAACUACGCUUUCAGAUUGAAAGGAGUGGCCGUAAGUUAGUGAAUCUAGAUAGGUACGAGCUGACCUUGACGGUUGAGUCGACUGGAGCAGAUUGGCAAUCCGCUCCUCAACUUGGCCGUGGAUACAUCAGCGAUGUACGAGUACUUUUGGUCACACGGGCUCAUCUCGGACGAAACAUUCCAGGCGCUUUCCAACUCCUGCAAAUUCGAAGACUAUGAGCUCGGGCUCGCGGACCACAACGUUUCCAACGCAUGCAACGACGGCAUCCUCCAGUCCAACACUGAAGUUGGAAGAUUCAUCAACAAUUACGACGUCAUACUCGACGUCUGCCUUCCAUCAAUCUUCUUGCAGGAAGUGAGGCUCAAGCAACAGGUAAAAGCCUCUCUGUUCCUUCUAAAACGAUGAAAGAACCGUGGAAACAGAUGGCUCAGAAAAGCUAUGGAGUGGACAUAUGCAUCGACAAGGAGAGGGACGUCUACUUCAACCUUCCAGAGGUGCAAAGAGAACUCCACGCGAACACAACUGGACUUCCAUACUCGUGGAGUAUGUGCACAGGGUAAUCAAAAGAACAACGCACCAAAGUUUCGAAACUUAACGAAAAGACUUUUGCCAUUUCCCGUGAAACAGGCCUGUGGACUACGCAAUGCAAGACGGAAGCACAAACAUGGUACCUCUUCUUGGAGACAUCCUCAAAGCGGGACUCCGCGUUUGGAUCUUCAGGUACGUAAGUGGAGCUAAAAAAGUUCUUCCCAUUCAGAAAACGAAAGAGUUUGAAGCUUACCGCGUGUCCUUUGUGACAGUGGAGACCAGGACUCAGUAGUCCCUUUGACAGGGACGAGAUCACUCAUUGGAGGCCUGGCAAAAUCGCUGGGAAUGCAAAC
rnacentral:lncRNA from 1 species